AUUGAACGCUGGCGGCAUGCCUUACACAUGCAAGUCGAACGGCAGCACGGGAGCAAUCCUGGUGGCGAGUGGCGAACGGGUGAGUAAAGUAUCGGAACGUGCCCAGUCGUGGGGGAUAACGUAGCGAAAGUUACGCUAAUACCGCAUACGAUCUAUGGAUGAAAGCGGGGGAUCGCAAGACCUCGCGCGAUUGGAGCGGCCGAUAGCAGAUUAGGUAGUUGGUGGGGUAAAGGCUCACCAAGCCGACGAUCUGUAGCUGGUCUGAGAGGACGACCAGCCACACUGGGACUGAGACACGGCCCAGACUCCUACGGGAGGCAGCAGUGGGGAAUUUUGGACAAUGGGCGAAAGCCUGAUCCAGCCAUGCCGCGUGCAGGAUGAAGGCCUUCGGGUUGUAAACUGCUUUUGUACGGAACGAAACGGCGAGCUCUAAUACAGUUUGCUAAUGACGGUACCGUAAGAAUAAGCACCGGCUAACUACGUGCCAGCAGCCGCCGUAA
rnacentral:rRNA from 1 species